AGUGAUCGCUGGCGGUAGGCCUAACACAUGCAAGUCGAACGGCAGCACAGUAAGAGCUUGCUCUUACGGGUGGCGAGUGGCGGACGGGUGAGGAAUACAUCGGAAUCUACUUUUUCGUGGGGGAUAACGUAGGGAAACUUACGCUAAUACCGCAUACGACCUACGGGUGAAAGCAGGGGAUCUUCGGACCUUGCGCGAUUGAAUGAGCCGAUGUCGGAUUAGCUAGUUGGCGGGGUAAAGGCCCACCAAGGCGACGAUCCGUAGCUGGUCUGAGAGGGUGAGCAGCCACACUGGAACUGAGACACGGUCCAGACUCCUACGGGAGUCAGCAGUGGGGAAUAUUGGACAAUGGGCGCAAGCCUGAUCCAGCCAUACCGCGUGGGUGAAGAAGGCCUUCGGGUUGUAAAGCCCUUUUGUUGGGAAAGAAAAGCAGCAGGUUAAUACCCCGCUGUUCUGACGGUAGCCAAAGAAUAAGCACCGGCUAACUUCGUG
rnacentral:rRNA from 1 species